rnacentral:lncRNA from 1 species
UAGGACCACAAGCAUCAGGGGUCGGGUUUUCCUACUCAGCUGUAAAUACUAUAAAAUGGGGUUCAUCUCAGGCUGGGCUGGGGGAAAGAGCAUGGUGGUAUAAGAGAAGGGCAGGUGGGAGUGAGGAAUCCCCCCCCCCACACUUGCUCCCCACAAGUGACCCUUGACCACGUGGACACACUGCUAGGGACACCGACUGAGGAACAGUGGCCUGCCAUGACCAAACUGCCAGACUAUAAGGUGUGCCUAGCUCUGGGAGGUCUUGGUUCCUUAGAGGCCCUUUUAUUUUCCAACACUGUGACCCAUGCUUCUGACCUGACUCUGCCUGGCCCCUCCUCUGCAGCCCUACCCAAUGUACCCAGCUACAACAUCCUUGGUGAAUGUCGUGCCCAAACUCAAUGCCACGGGGAGAGACCUGUUGCAGAACCUGUUGAAGUGUAACCCAGUGCAGCGCAUCUCGGCAGAGGAGGCCUUGCAGCACCCCUAUUUCUCUGACUUCUGUCCCCCGUAGACUCUCUGACCCUGGCGGCCAGGCUGGGGCCUGACCUAUUUAAGCCUCCCUCCCAGGAGGGUGGGAGAGUGGGGUAUGGGAUGCUGAGUACCAGCUGUGCUGGGCCCAGCCAGGGGCGAGUUACCCUGGUCCGCGGUUUCCCUCCCUCCAUGGACUUUAUUUAAUUUCAUAAAUUGGUUCCUUUC